AUGGAACUUCCUUUAGUUGGUAGAAAAUAUUCUUGGUCAAAUAAUCAUGAGGACCCAACUUAUGCUCUACUAGAUAGGGUGUUGUUGUCUCCAACUUGGGAAGAUAGAUAUCCUUUGGUUCAGGUUUCCACACUGUCCAGAGAAUUAUCUGACCAUACACCAUUAUACAUUUCUUCUGGGGAGAAGCCCAAAAUACCUUACAUGUUCAAAUUUGGGAACUGUUGGUUUCAAAGGGCAGACCGAGAUGAUGUAGUUAGAAAGGUGUGGGGCAAGAGAUUCAUGGGAUGGACAACAAUGGACCAGAUGCAUGGUAGAUUAGUAGAGAUUAAGAGAGUGUUGAAGGGGUGGAACUGGAAUAUUGAGGUUGUGUACAAAAAGCAUAAGAGAAAUUUGAUUGAAGACUUGAUAAUAUAG
rnacentral:rRNA from 1 species